GAGAAACUUCUUUGAUGGAUAUUCUCUUUACAAUGAUUUGUGAAAUUGGUUUCAAAAUACUAGAUUCGAAUGUUGCUCCAUGUUGCCAUGACGAAAACGGAACAGUGCAGGUUAAAGAGGCGAAGGGAAAGGCAGGUCAAAGCAGCGACGCACUGGCCAGGUGCGCAGACAUUCCACUCGCCUUGCGGUACGCUCACCCCUCUUUCCCCGGCCGCGAUUAUUUUCUACCUGGAGCGCCACGUUUAUUUCUUCAUGGCGGAUCGAACGAUAUAUUCGAUACAUCGAACCGAUCCGAAACGAUAUUGUGUGUAUGAAUGAAUUCUCCACGAAGAAGAUUUGAAGAGGUAUAAGGAUGGUGAUCGAAAGAAACAAAAAUGGCGGCUACUUGGCGCAUUUCUGAGUUAUAAGGAGCCUCUAUAAAUGAUCACAGAUACGUAUAUUGUCGACUAUGCCCUCGAUUCGAGGUGCUCCCUCCAUAACAUGAUCACGGCCUUGAUAACUUUACAUUGAAUCGAAGGAGAAUGAAGGAAACCUAACAAGCAACAGGUUAGCACGAUCUAACGUAAGGGGUGGGGAAAUGAGAGAAUAAAAAGAGCUAUGUAAGUACUUAUAGACAGAGAAGCAGAAAAGCAAUCAUCGUUGGAUUUGGUAGGAAUAUCCGUAGAAACGAAAUGCUUAGCACUACGUAAGAACAACGAUGUCGUGACAUGGAGACCGGAUUGGUCGGUCACCUGUUGCCCGCUAACUGUGAUUGGUCGGACUCGACAGCGCGUAACGACAGCCAGAGGAAGACAAGUGCAUUGUCGGUUGGUUUAUGAUGGACCAAGAUCAAAAAUAAAUACUACAAGAAUGUUAAUUUCAAUUCAUUCAAUUUUUGUUAUAUAUAUUUACAUACAUAUAUAUUAUUUGCUUUUCUUUGCGGACAAAUUAAUCAUAUUGAGAUUACAAAAUAGAUAUAUUCACAUAGAUUUUUAUCAAUCCUUGUGUUACAGAAUAGUAAACAAAUCCUGAUUAUUAUUUCAAUAAGUUAUUUACAAUGAAUUAAAGCUGUUUUUUUACAUAAAUAUUUAUAAGCAUUAUCUUCAAAUUAUUUACAUUUCCGGAUAAAAUUUGAGAACUUGUACGUGAGAUAAGAGGAAAAUACAUAUAUUUGAUGAGAAAUUUAAUUUAUUUAUUUAAAAUAUGAUUAAUGUCAAAUAAAAUAAAUAUGUGAUAAAUAAUGAAGAUGAAAUUUUUGCAAAUCGAAUAGAUAUAGAAAACUGAAUAAAUGACAAGAAUUGCGCGAGACUAGUCUUCGCUUGAGGAGCAAAGUCUGCGUUGAUGAUGGAAGGAAAGCCGGUUUACGAUAUCGGACUCUGAACUUUUCGUGUCUAUAUCUAAUAUCGAUUCUCUAUACUACUAUGCUGUUACAAAAUAAAUGCAAAUUUUAAGUGUUUUGUACAUUCAUUUGUUUUAAGGCUUUUAACAAA